GAUGAACGCUGGCGGCGUGCCUAAUACAUGCAAGUCGAGCGAACAGAUGAGGAGCUUGCUCCUUUGACGUUAGCGGCGGACGGGAGAGUAACACGUAGGUAACCUACCUAUAAGACUGGGAUAACUUCGGGAAACCGGAGCUAAUACCGGAUAAUAUUUCGAACUGCAUGGUUCGAUAGUGAAAGAUGGCUUUGCUAUCACUUAUAGAUGUACCUGCGCCGUAUUAGCUAGUUGGUAAGGUAACGGCUUACCAAGGCAACGAUACGUAGCCGACCGGAGAGGGGGAUCGGCAACAACGGAACUGAGACACGGUCCAGACUCCUACGGGAGGCAGCAGUAGGGAAUCUUCCGCAAUGGGCGCAAGCCUGACGGAGCAACGCCGCGUGAGUGAUGAAGGUCUUCGGAUCGUAAAACUCUGUUGUUAGGGAAGAACAAAUUUGUUAGUAACUGAACAAAUCUUGACGGUACCUAACCAGAAAGCCACGGCUAACUUCGUGCCAGCAGCCGCCGUAA
rnacentral:rRNA from 1 species